GUCGAACGAGACCUUCGGGUCUAGUGGCGCACGGGUGCGUAACGCGUAGGCAAUCUACCCGAUACAGGGGAAUAACACGGGGAAACUCGUGCUAAUACCGCGUAAUAAAUGAGAAGGCAUCUUCUUAUUUUAAAAGCUUCGGCGGUAUCGGAAGAGCCUGCGUCCUAUUAGCUAGUUGGUAAGGUAACAGCUUACCAAGGCGACGAUAGGUAGGGGAACUGAGAGGUUGAUCCCCCACACUGGUACUGAGAUACGGACCAGACUCCUACGGGAGGCAGCAGUGAGGAAUAUUGGUCAAUGGACGGAAGUCUGAACCAGCCAUGCCGCGUGUCGGAAGACGGCCCUCUGGGUUGUAAACGGCUUUUCUUUGGGAAGAACACGCUCUUGCGAGAGCAACUGACGGUACCAAAGGAAUAAGCACCGGCUAACUACGUGCCAGCAGCCGCGGUAAUACGUAGGGUGCAAGCGUUGUCCGGAUUUAUUGGGUUUAAAGGGUGCGUAGGCGGCUAUUUAAGUCGUGGGUGAAAGCCCGUCGCUUAACGACGGAAUUGCCUGCGAUACUGGAUAGCUUGAGUAUCGUUAAGGUUGGCGGAAUGGGAGGUGUAGCGGUGAAAUGCAUAGAUACCUUCCAGAACACCGAUUGCGUAGGCAGCUGACUAGGCGAUAACUGACGCUGAGGCACGAAAGCGUGGGGAGCGAACAGGAUUAGAUACCCUGGUAGUCCACGCCGUAAACGAUGAUGACUCGUUGUUGG
rnacentral:rRNA from 1 species